rnacentral:rRNA from 1 species
UUGCACGCUGGCGGCAUGCUUUACACAUGCAAGUCGAACGGUAACAGGCCUUCGGGUGCUGACGAGUGGCGAACGGGUGAGUAAUGCAUCGGAACGUGCCCAGAGGUGGGGGAUAACGCAGCGAAAGCUGUGCUAAUACCGCAUGUGAUCUGAGGAUGAAAGCGGGGGACCAGGCAGCAAUGUUUGGCCUCGCGCCUUUGGAGCGGCCGAUGUCAGAUUAGGUAGUUGGUGGGGUAAAGGCCUACCAAGCCGACGAUCUGUAGCUGGUCUGAGAGGACGACCAGCCACACUGGGACUGAGACACGGCCCAGACUCCUACGGGAGGCAGCAGUGGGGAAUUUUGGACAAUGGGCGCAAGCCUGAUCCAGCAAUGCCGCGUGCGGGAAGAAGGCCUUCGGGUUGUAAACCGCUUUUGUACGGAACGAAAAGGCUCUGGCUAAUACCUGGGGCUGAUGACGGUACCGUAAGAAUAAGCACCGGCUAACUACGUG